rnacentral:sRNA from 1 species
CUCUGUCCUGGGGCUGCCCAAGGAAAUCGUGACUAUCGUGGUAUUUGGCGUGGAGUACUUCGUGCGGAUCUGGGCCGCAGGCUGCUGCUGCCGGUACCGU